UCGGGCGUAGUGCACGGAGCACACUCCUUUACUUUGCGUCGUAUGUAUGUUACAAGCGCAGGAGAGACCGGGUUCGACUCCCGGCGCCCGAG